rnacentral:lncRNA from 1 species
AUGCUUUAUGUUCUCAGACUUAUUAACAAACCUGCUGUGAGAAUGUUUAUGCAUAAAUUUAACGUGGACCAACAAAUUACCUUUGGAAUUAUGUUAAUUAUAUGGAGUAAGAUGGCGCUCGCGCAGGUGCGCGCUGCGAGCUGCUCGUCCUCUUUAUGCAGUGGUACCUUGCUUUUUACUGGUUUUUAUUGGCGUUUUAUUGGCUUUUAUGCAUUUUUGUUGUCUCUGAUGCUGUUUUUGAAUGGUGUGGAUCCUCUGCUGACUUACGAUCGAGCUGCGCUGCUGAGGCUUCGUCCUCCCGUUGAUGUAGCGGGCUCCGCGAGCUGGGAACCUCACGGAUGGCGCUGCUGGUUGGACUGCCCGUGUGCUCUCUCCCCCCAAGCCGUGAUGUGUCGGCCCUCUGUCCGCCCCAGCUCGAGAAGGAAGUAUCGGAGAAGACGGGGAAAGAGAGGUAGCCGGCGCGUGAGACCUCGGGCUGGAUCCCUGAAGAAGCGGCUGGUCCGAUUCGGCCCAGCUUCUGACCCGGUGGUUCCGAGAUGUCUCCUGGAUCACUCGGCGCCCUGCCUAGGGAACUUGGCUGGCUCUGAGGGUGAAAUGGCACCGCGCCAUGGCCGAUCGGCUCGAAGAUCUCGCCAGACUGGGGUUUGCUGGGAGAAUCUGCGCUCGGUUACGGGCACAGAGUUAAAGGGGACUGGGCCCGUGCGCGAUCUUGGUGCUGCAGCUCUGCCGCAGACCCGGUUUGGUUUGGUCAAUGCCAGGUCUGUGCUGAACAAAACUUUUAUACUUCGUGACUUUUUUAUUCAGCAUGACUUGGGUUUUCUCUGCAUCUGUGAGUCCUGGAUCCCGUUUGGUGACUCAAGCGCCCUGCUGGAGCUGGUACCACCUGGCUGCUCCUGUUUUAAUAUCCCUAGACCACGGGGCAGAGGUGGAGGGCUGGUUGUUGUUUUCAAAUCCAGCUUUCCUCGUAAACAGCUUACACCCACCAUGUCAUUUUCUUCCUUUGAACUGUGCUUAUUUGAACUGUGCAUCUCCCCCCGCCUGCUCGUCGUGCUGAUUUAUCUCCCUCCAAAGACUGACUCUAACUUCCUUAAUGAUUUCUGUGAUCUUGUGGCAGACUGCAUCCUAAAAUAU